rnacentral:rRNA from 1 species
GCCGCGUGAGGGAGGAGGCCUGUGGGUUGUAAACCUCUUUUCUCAAGGAAGAAGUUCUGACGGUACUUGAGGAAUCAGCAUCGGCUAACUCCGUGCCAGCAGCCGCGGUAAGACGGAGGAUGCAAGCGUUAUCCGGAAUUAUUGGGCGUAAAGCGUCCGUAGGCGGUUUCAAAAGUCUGUUGUUAAAUCCCACAGCUCAACUGUGGAUCGGCGAUGGAAACUGUGAGACUAGAGAGUGGUAGGGGUAGAGGGAAUUCCUAGUGUAGCGGUGAAAUGCGUAGAUAUUAGGAAGAACACCAGUGGCGAAGGCGCUCUACUGGGCCAUUACUGACGCUGAUGGACGAAAGCUAGGGGAGCGAAAGGGAUUAGAUACCCCUGUAGUCCUAGCUGUAAACGAUGGAUACUAGGUGUUGGCCGUAUCGACCCGGUCAGUAUCGAAGCAAACGCGUUAAGUAUCCCGCCUGGGGAGUACGCACGCAAGUGUGAAACUCAAAGGAAUUGACGGGGGCCCGCACAAGCGGUGGAGUAUGUGGUUUAAUUCGAUGCAACGCGAAGAACCUUACCAGGGAUUGACAUCCUACGAAUCUUUCUGAAAGGAGAGAGUGCCUUCGGGAACGUAGAGACAGGUGGUGCAUGGCUGUCGUCAGCUCGUGUCGUGAGAUGUUGGGUUAAGUCCCGCAACGAGCGGCAACCCUCGUCCUUAGUUGCCAUCAUUAAGUUGGGCACUUUAGGGAGACUGCCGGUGACAAACCGGAGGAAGGUGGGGAUGACGUCAAGUCAUCAUGCCCCUUACAUCCUGGGCUACACACGUACUACAAUGCAACGGACAAAGGGCAGCCAACUAGCGAUAGUGAGCUAAUCCCAUAAACCGUUGCUCAGUUCAGAUUGCAGGCUGCAACUCGCCUGCAUGAAGGCGGAAUCGCUAGUAAUCGCAGGUCAGCAUACUGCGGUGAAUACGUUCCCGGGCCUUGUACACACCGCCCGUCACACCAUGGAAGUUGGCCACGCCCGAAGUCGUUACCCCAACCGUUUACGGAGGGGGACGCCGAAGGCAGGGCUGAUGACUGGGGUGAAGUCGUAACAAGGUAGCCGUACCGGAAGGUGUGGCUGGAUCACCUCCUUA